rnacentral:lncRNA from 1 species
GGAGGAGGAAGGAGGGAGGAGGCAGGGUAACAGAGAGAAGGGGGAUGGGGAAGGACCUGCUCUUGCACUUAGAGACGGAUGGAUGGGAGUCUACCUAAUGGCUGUAAUCCGUGUCCUCAAACUGAAUCUCUGGGCUCACAGGGGUUUAGCCUCAGGGGCUUCUCAACAACAAUCUUUACUUUGGAUUUCCACCCAAGAUUUCCCCAGAGUCAUCAAAGUCCAGAAGUAGGACAAAAGUCAAGGUGACUGGAGAUGGCCCAGGAUGCAGUGGAUGGCCCUAGAAUCUUUGAUACCUGUCCAAACUCUAAGCACUCCACAGCCCCUGUUUCAGGAGUUUAAAGUAAAAAGGAAGAGAAAUUUAUUUCAGACUAAUGUGAUUGGACCACUUGGAGGUUGCUUUUAUUUUAUUUUUUUAAACAUUGACAUACCUGAACAUGGUCUACUAACAUCUUAUGGCCUUCUAUAAUACUGGACCUUGGCCGUUAAGAUUCUUCCUUCUAAUCUUAGACCUACCAUUAAUUUGCCUUGUGUCUGCGGAUAAGCCAUUUUAAUUCAGUUG